rnacentral:rRNA from 1 species
GACGAACGCUGGCGGCGUGCUUAACACAUGCAAGUCGAGCGGUAAGGCCCUUUCGGGGGUACACGAGCGGCGAACGGGUGAGUAACACGUGGGUGACCUGCCCUCAGCUCUGGGAUAAGCCUGGGAAACUGGGUCUAAUACUGGAUAUGACUCCACGGUGCAUGUCGUGGGGUGGAAAGCCUUGUGCGGCUGAGGAUGGGCUCGCGGCCUAUCAGCUUGUUGGUGGGGUGAUGGCCUACCAAGGCGACGACGGGUAGCCGGCCUGAGAGGGCGACCGGCCACACUGGGACUGAGACACGGCCCAGACUCCUACGGGAGGCAGCAGUGGGGAAUCUUGCGCAAUGGGCGAAAGCCUGACGCAGCGACGCCGCGUGAGGGAUG